rnacentral:tRNA from 1 species
AGAGUUGUAGCUCCCUGGUAGAGCACUUGCCUGGCAAGCAUGAGGCCCUGGGUUCGAUCCUCAGCACCACAU